AGCCUUCCGAAUCCGUGCUGAGAUUACGUCAAACACCGAACCAUCAGCACUGAUGAGACUCCCAAGAUAAGUGGAGCA
rfam:Schistosoma mansoni strain Puerto Rico chromosome 1, complete genome